UACGUAGGGGGCAAGCGUUGUCCGGAAUCAUUGGGCGUAAAGAGCGUGUAGGCGGCCAGAUAAGUCCGCUGUGAAAUCUCGGAGCUUAACUCCGAAACUGCAUUCGAUACUGCCGUGCUUGAGGACUGGAGAGGAGACUGGAAUUUACGGUGUAGCGGUGAAAUGCGUAGAUAUCGUAAGGAAGACCAGUGGCGAAGGCGGGUCUCUGGACAGUUCCUGACGCUGAGGCACGAAGGCCAGGGGAGCAAACGGG
rnacentral:rRNA from 1 species